rnacentral:rRNA from 1 species
GAUGAACGCUGGCGGCGUGCCUAAUACAUGCAAGUCGAGCGAACAGACGAGGAGCUUGCUCCUCUGACGUUAGCGGCGGACGGGUGAGUAACACGUGGAUAACCUACCUAUAAGACUGGGAUAACUUCGGGAAACCGGAGCUAAUACCGGAUAACAUGUUGAACCGCAUGGUUCAACAGUGAAAGACGGUUUUGCUGUCACUUAUAGAUGGAUCCGCGUCGCAUUAGCUAGUUGGUAAGGUAACGGCUUACCAAGGCAACGAUGCGUAGCCGACCUGAGAGGGUGAUCGGCCACACUGGAACUGAGACACGGUCCAGACUCCUACGGGAGGCGGCAGUAGGGAAUCUUCCGCAAUGGGCGAAAGCCUGACGGAGCAACGCCGCGUGAGUGAAGAAGGUCUUCGGAUCGUAAAACUCUGUUAUUAGGGAAGAACAAAUGUGUAAGUAACUAUGCACGUCUUGACGGUACCUAAUCAGAAAGCCACGGCUAACUACGUG